rnacentral:rRNA from 1 species
AAAGCUUGGCGAUACAGGGUGAUAGCCCCGUAACCGACGCUUCAUCGAGCGUGAAAUCGAGUAGGGCGGGACACGUGAUAUCCUGUCUGAAUAUGGGGGGACCAUCCUCCAAGGCUAAAUACUCCUGACUGACCGAUAGUGAACCAGUACCGUGAGGGAAAGGCGAAAAGAACCCCUGUGAGGGGAGUGAAAUAGAACCUGAAACCGUGUACGUACAAGCAGUAGGAGCACCUUCGUGGUGUGACUGCGUACCUUUUGUAUAAUGGGUCAGCGACUUAUAUUCAGUGGCAAGGUUAACCGUAUAGGGGAGCCGUAGCGAAAGCGAGUCUUAACUGGGCGCUCAGUCUCUGGAUAUAGACCCGAAACCGGGUGAUCUAGCCAUGGGCAGGUUGAAGGUUGAGUAACAUCAACUGGAGGACCGAACCGACUAAUGUUGAAAAAUUAGCGGAUGACUUGUGGCUAGGGGUGAAAGGCCAAUCAAACUCGGAGAUAGCUGGUUCUCCCCGAAAGCUAUUUAGGUAGCGCCUCGGACGAAUACUACUGGGGGUAGAGCACUGUUAAGGCUAGGGGGUCAUCCCGACUUACCAACCCUUUGCAAACUCCGAAUACCAGUAAGUACUAUCCGGGAGACACACGGCGGGUGCUAACGUCCGUCGUGGAGAGGGAAACAACCCAGACCGCCAGCUAAGGUCCCAAAGUAUUGCUAAGUGGGAAACGAUGUGGGAAGGCUCAGACAGCUAGGAUGUUGGCUUAGAAGCAGCCAUCAUUUAAAGAAAGCGUAAUAGCUCACUAGUCGAGUCGGCCUGCGCGGAAGAUGUAACGGGGCUAAGCAAUACACCGAAGCUGCGGCAAUAUCUUUUAGAUAUUGGGUAGGGGAGCGUUCUGUAAGCCGUUGAAGGUGAAUCGUAAGGUUUGCUGGAGGUAUCAGAAGUGCGAAUGCUGACAUGAGUAACGACAAAGGGGGUGAAAAACCUCCUCGCCGGAAGACCAAGGGUUCCUGUCCAACGUUAAUCGGGGCAGGGUGAGUCGACCCCUAAGGUGAGGCCGAAAGGCGUAAUCGAUGGGAAACGGGUUAAUAUUCCCGUACUUCUGACUAUUGCGAUGGGGGGACGGAGAAGGCUAGGUGGGCCAGGCGACGGUUGUCCUGGUUCAAGUGCGUAGGCUUGAGAGUUAGGUAAAUCCGGCUCUCUCUAAGGCUGAGACACGACGUCGAGCUGCUACGGCAGUGAAGUCAUUGAUGCCAUGCUUCCAGGAAAAGCCUCUAAGCUUCAGAUAGUCAGGAAUCGUACCCCAAACCGACACAGGUGGUCGGGUAGAGAAUACCAAGGCGCUUGAGAGAACUCGGGUGAAGGAACUAGGCAAAAUGGUACCGUAACUUCGGGAGAAGGUACGCUCUUGAUGGUGAAGUCCCUCGCGGAUGGAGCUGACGAGAGUCGCAGAUACCAGGUGGCUGCAACUGUUUAUUAAAAACACAGCACUGUGCAAAAUCGCAAGAUGACGUAUACGGUGUGACGCCUGCCCGGUGCCGGAAGGUUAAUUGAUGGGGUUAGCGCAAGCGAAGCUCUUGAUCGAAGCCCCGGUAAACGGCGGCCGUAACUAUAACGGUCCUAAGGUAGCGAAAUUCCUUGUCGGGUAAGUUCCGACCUGCACGAAUGGCGUAAUGAUGGCCACGCUGUCUCCACCCGAGACUCAGUGAAAUUGAAAUCGCUGUGAAGAUGCAGUGUACCCGCGGCUAGACGGAAAGACCCCGUGAACCUUUACUACAGCUUGGCACUGAACAUUGAACCUACAUGUGUAGGAUAGGUGGGAGGCUAU